rnacentral:lncRNA from 1 species
AGUGCUGCAUUUGACUGUCUACUGUCCAAGUUAGGAGUUCGCAACUUGCACUCUCCUACUUGAGGGGGAGUGUUGGAUAUGGAUUGGUACGGUUAAGGCCGGUAUGUUGGUAUGUCGGUUGUGAUAACGUUUGUAGUAGAUAAGUACGUAUCAUUGUGUGAUAAGGACUAGAAGAUAUGAUACUCUCUAGAAGAUCUCCUAAGAGUUGUAUAUAAGUCUUGUACUACGUAUGUGAAUACACACGAUUCCAGCAAUACUCUCUCUAAGUUUACCAACGUCAGCGAAAGCACCAGUCCUACCUUCAACAGCAAUACCGCAGCGUCCACAGCCCUUGAUCUGACAUAUGGCGUCAGACUCACCAAUCACCAUAUAACCCAAUUCUCUGAACCUGAAUAAAACAAGAGUGCAAGAGUCUCCGCAUGGCGCAGCGUACAAACCGUUGAACGGUCGAUCAAGGAGCCUUUAGGGUUCUAGAGACCUGUUCUUGGAUCGAUCAAAGAGUUUCUUGCGAUAGCUUCUUUGAGACCAACUUCUUGAUAAAUGAAUUUAAUUAAAUCUCACAAGGAAUAAGCAAAAGCUCUAUUAUUAAUUAUCAAAGUCCGAUUCA